rnacentral:tRNA from 1 species
CAGAAAGUAGUUUUAAAAAAAAAUAUUAAUUUUGGAGAUUAAUGAUGGGAAAUUUUUUCUUUUUCUGA